rnacentral:rRNA from 1 species
AAGAAAAAAAGAGUGAACUGAAACAUCUAAGUAACUCUUGAAAAAAUCAAACGAGAUUCCGUUAGUAGUGGCGAGCAAACACAGAGUAGACUUAUAUAUUUGAGACUUAGAAAAUUAAUGUCAAAGAAGGUUUUAACCCUGUAAAAGUUAAAAAUAUAUUCAUUUUGUAGUAAAACAGUUCAUUUCUGUUUGAAUAUUGGGGAACCACCCUCAAUUCUAAAAGUUUUUGGUGACCGAUAGUAAAAAAGUACCGUAAGGGAAUGGUGAAAAAAUCUCUUUUAGAGAUGAAAAUAUCUGAAACUUAUUGUUAACAAACUGUUGAAGUUUAUUAAAAUAAACAACAACUUACCUUUUGCAUAAUGGGCCAGUGACUUUAUUAAAAUGGCAAGCUUAAAUUGUUAAAUGGAAGCGUAGAGAAAUCAAAUACAAAUAAUGUUGUGAGUCAUUUUAAUAAGACCCGAAACAAAGUGAUCUAACCAUGAACAGGUUGAAAAUAUUACAGUAAUGUAGAUUGGAGGACCGAACUCGUGUAUGUAGAAAAAUGCUGAGAUGAUUUGUGGUUAGGGGUGAAAGGCCAAUCAAACUUUGAGAUAGCUGGUUUUCCGCGAAAUCUAUUUAAGUAGAGCGUUUUUUUGUUUUUAAUGGGGUAGAGCUCUCGAUAAGCUAGGGGGAUUUAAAUCUUACCAAACUUAAUGAAACUACGAAUACGUUAUUUAAACAUUAAAGCAGACAGAUAUUGGAUGCUAAGGUCCUUUAUCAAAAGGGAAACAGCCCAGAUUAAUUAUUAAGGUCUUUAAUAAAUGUUUAAGUGAAGAAUGCGGUAAUUAAACAAAAACAACAAUUAGGUAGGCUUGGAAGCAGCCAUCUUUUCAAGAAAGCGUAACAGCUCCUUUGUCAUAGUUUUUUUCUGCUGAAGAUGUAUAGAGCCUAAAACAUUAACCGAAAUAGUAAAUCAGAAAUGAUGGUAGCGGAACGUUUUGCAUUUUUAUGAAGAAAUGCUGUAAAGUUUUUUGGAAAAAUCAAAAGUGAGUAUACUGGCAUGAGUAACGAUAAAUGCCGUAAAAAACGGCAUCGCUGUAAGUUCAAGGGUUUUGAAGCAAGGUUAAUCCUCUUCAAAUAAAAUUUAUGAUUUUAAUAAUAAGACGGCCCCUAAGAUAAUA